AGAUGGGGGAUCGAAAAGGAGGAAGUUUCAAGUUCUAUUUAAAGGCAAGCCCUGGCCUUGCAAAAACUACUCAAGCUGCUUGCUGUUGCUGGCUGCCGCUGGUUAGAGUUUGGCUGUAGACUUCUUGUGCCUGCCUGCCUCUGUGGUGAGGAGGUCUCUCCAGCCCCUCUGACUUUUUUUGCCUCCCACCUUCUACAAAGUAAUUUUCCCUGGCUGAGUGUGUGUGUGCGCGCACAGCUGCUGCUGCUGUUGCUGUUGCUGGAGGAUUUUUUGUUUUCUGGCAUGAAGAAGGAUACUUCCUUGCACAAUGCCUUCUUCUUUGUGGAACUUUGUAGCUAGUCUGAAGCAAGCAAAUCUUUCUUUCCAUUCUGGCCAAGCAGCAGGACUGUCAAAGCCGAAAGCUUCUGCUGUAGGACAGUGAGCCAUUUCAAAGAGUGAUUCAAAUGCUAUUCACCGAAGGCUGAGAUCCAUUUGUAUCUACAAUGCAGUACCAAAUUUACCAGCAUGGAUAUUCAGAACACCACAGCUGGAAAGCAAGAUCCAAAUAAACACCUUUACACAGUAAUGAAUAUGUUUUAGCUGCUUGUACCUUGUGGCGAUUUGAUUAGGCUAAACUAGAGCAAUCUAGGCAACCGUGAAAACAGUAACCAUUCUUCAGCACUGCCACAACAAAAAGACAUUAAGAAGUGGUUAUCCACCAUACAAGUUGUAAAAUAUUAUUUAACUUAAUAAAUGUGUCUCAUUCUCUA